GUGCUUCCUCUGAUUGCACCCUUUAAAAUAUCUACGGAUAUAAAUAUCAGAUAUAGUUUUGUUCUUAUACAUUCCUCAGCUGCUUGUAGUCUCCUCCGGCUAGUUUUCCAUGCUGUUCAAUCUGAAGUCCAUGACUUCCUUACCUUUUUCCGUCUAUUCUCUCUCCACAGGGAGAUGUACUCUCAGAGGGGAAUCUGUAGCUAAAGAACACACCUGCACCGUGCAUCCCAGACUCAUUCAAGACUCUUUUCAUUGAUGGAAGAAUUGAAUGUGGCCCUCACGUCCUGGUCAAAGCCCGUGACUCUGGAACUUUCAGGAGAGAAACAUCACAGAAGCAGCAAAUGGGAGUAUGUUUUCACACGUGGUUACACAUUGGGUUUUUGUACCGAUGAAUCCCCGUGGGAGAAGUUUGAAUUAAAGAGUUGCAGCUACAGUUACUGCACCAUCCUUGAGCUUUGAGGACCCCUUCUUGCUUGGAGCAAGCUGAGCUUUCCAGUCAACAGAGGCACUGUCUGCAUAUAUUCAUUCUUCAGGUCUCAACAGCCCCUCUGGAGUUAGUGCCAGGAAUAUUUUCCUGUUACAAGUAGGAACAAGAGAUAUUUUCUGGGGACAUGGUUGUAGAGCUGCAGAUAGCACUUGGGGUACAUUAUUCUGAAUCUGUCAGUCAGCUUUUUAUGCAACAAAUCAGAUGUUAUAGACAUUGAGGUACCUGCCUCCAUUCACUGGUCAAGGCCUUGCAGACCACAAACUGUUAUAUUCUCACCUUAAAACAAGAGAAAAAAAAUUGUAUUGAGAAUGCAUGAGUGGACAUUCCACUAGCAGAAAAACAGAUUACCUCUCCACCAAGCAGACUCCGAUCCCCAGGACUCUGAAAGCAACCUAGAAUGACAUUUUUUUUUGUUUCUGAUAGCUGGGAAUUUGAGAGGGCUGAAUGACUGAGGAGGGAGCAAUGGGUAAAGUUAUCUCCCUUUUUUCUUAUUCUUUUUUUCUUAUAUGAGCAUCACACAGCAGGCUGCUGAAACAGGCUUCUUCAAAGUCAUUAUAGCAAAUGCAGAUUACGUAUCUCACACAGCAGGCAGCUACAGUAAAUCUUGGCACAUCCAUCCAUUAACGUAUUGGUUUCGGAGAAGCCAUAGUUGCCAAUGUAGAUCAAUAAGCCAUAGAUUUUGAGUUUUUUAUGUUAUAGUAUGGGGCACUGCUUAGAAGGAAGGAUGAAUUAAGCAAAUGAUUUCCUGGAGUGAACAGUGGGCACUUGAGUCACAUGGUUAAAAUCCCCUAAGGCUGCUGGUUUCAGGGUAGUUAUCUCAGUUUCAGCUAUUAAGGUGACACACAGGGGGAGAAGACUAGUGUAAUCAUAACCCUGUGUGUCACGAGAUCUUUGAUAUUUUCCUUGGAUGACCUUGGAUACUGCUAUCUGAAAUAACACGUUGCUUGUGGCAGCAGUUCAUGCACGUUAGGU
rnacentral:lncRNA from 1 species